rnacentral:lncRNA from 1 species
CCUCAUGGACUCGAGACUUGACAAGCUACAAUUUAACCAAGAAAAGAAUUUUGAAAUAGUGGAAAAUUUUGAACGAAUCUAAAACUGUCAGUCCACAUCGACAGCAUAUUGAACUAGCAAAUCCACUUACCUUAAGCCCUCAACCUCAGUUGCCAUUGCUUCAUCAAGCCUUCUCGAAGAACCGCUGGGCAUUCCAUAACCCACUUGAGGUAUUCCAUAACCCGCUUGAGGUACUCCAUAGCCAGCUUGAGGUAUUCCAUAACCCGCUUGAGGUACUCCAUAACCCGCUUGAUGUACUCCAUAGCCAGCUUGAGGUACUCCAUAGCCAGCUUGAGGUACUCCAUAGCCACCUGGAGGUACUCCAUAGCCCCCCUGAGGCUGUCUUAACGGUGGAUGACUUACUGGUGGUGUUAUUAUAGGGGACGCAUCAGGUGAACGCCGGGGGAAUUCAACUCCAGAACGCUGCAACAUGUAACAGAAACCUUGAGAAUAAGAAUACCAUGCAAAUGAGCAUCUCAGUAAAAUGCCAUAUAUAUCGAGAUCUGAAUAUACAGUACUUCAAUUUAGA